AUUGAACGCUGGCGGCAUGCCUAACACAUGCAAGUCGAACGGGGCAGCAAUGCCUAGUGGCGGACGGGUGAGGAAUACGUAGGAAUCUGCCCUUAAGUGGGGGAUGACCAGGGGAGACCCUGACUAAUACCGCCUGAUCUCUUCGGAGCAAAGAGGGGGACCGCAAGGCCUCUCGCUUCGGGAUGAGCCUACGUCUGAUUAGCUAGUUGGUAGGGUAAAGGCCUACCAAGGCGACGAUCAGUAACUGGUCUGAGAGAUUGAUCAGUCACACCGGAACUGAGACACGGUCCGGACUCCUACGGGAGGCAGGAGUGGGGAAUAUUGGACAAUGGGCGCAAGCCUGAUCCAGCAAUGCCGCGUGUGGGAAGAAGGCCUUCGGGUUGUAAAGCACUUUAGCCUGGAAAGAAAAAACUUUGGUUAACACCCAAAGUCUUGACGGUACCAGGAGAAUAAGCACCGGCUAACUCUGUGCCAGCAGCCGCCGUAACAC
rnacentral:rRNA from 1 species